AGUAAUGUUCAUUUCUUAUUGUUAGUUUUUUUGUGUGUGUUUAGCCUUUCUCCAAAAUAUCCUUUUUGAGAAGCCCCCUUUCAAUCACAUCCACUUUACCCAGAUUGUUUCUUUAUACUUUACACGGGUAUCCCAGGUGUGGCUAGGCCCCUGGAUUAGAACAGGCCAGGUCAUUCAUGUUGGGGUAACAGCAGAUUAAAUCAACACAAGUGUGUUUCUCCUUCAUGUUCCGUGUCCAGUGUGGAUCAGCUGGGGGGCUCUGUUCAUGUGUAUAUACACAGAGACCCAAUCCAGACUUAUGGAGGUUCCAUCCUAAUACGUGUUCCUCGAUCCUCAUAUUAGGGUAAACAGAACAUGGUGAAAUACACUGGCUUUUAAAGCUUCUGGCCGGAAGGGGUGGGCUACCGCUGUUCAUAUUUUAUUGGCCAAAUGAUCACAACCAACUGCCUUUCAAUAAGAAGUGAAAGAUAAGUUAAAUGAACAAACACUACUUUCUAUUUGAAUGUCUUACACCAGAAAGCACUUUGUUGGACAUCCCAGGGAGGGAGGAGAAGUAGGUUAAUAAUUUUCUCAUUUUACACCUAAGGAAACCAAGCCUUAGAGAAAUCAAAUAAUUUUUUUUUAAUUUUUAUUUAUUUAUGAUAGUCACACACAGAGAGAGAGAGAGAGAGGCAGAGACACAGGCAGAGGGAGAAGCAGGCUCCAUGCACCGGGAGCCCGACGUGGGAUUCGAUCCCGGGUCUCCAGGAUCGCGCCCUGGGCCAAAGGCAGGCGCCAAACCGCUGCGCCACCCAGGGAUCCCGAAAUCAAAUAAUUUAAGGGAAGAAGAGAGAAUGAUGCCAUCUUCCAGCUCUGGAAGCUUUGCCUAAUGAGAAGAGUAAAUGGCCCUCUUAUGGGGGGAAUCUCCCACAUGACCUCCCUCCCCCUCAGUGAACACAUGUAUGGUCAUUGAUGACAUUCAGAAAGAGACACAAACUAACACAAAGGGAAAAGAGUUCUAGGAUAUAUUGUGAGCAAAACAAAUUGCCCCGUAAAAUAUAAACAAUAUGAGCUCAGAUCUCUCAGGACAUUCCAUUGCUACUAAAAUACAAGAAGUCUCCCUUUCCAGAGGUAGUUUUCCACAAAGAGCUCUAAAGUGAGUCCGCUAGGUCUCGCAGUCUGAACUUUAACAAUUAUGUGAAAUCAAGGACAAAGAAGGGGUUAUCGAUAAUAAUAAUUUAUCAACGGGAGUGUGUUCUCUACCUUUCAAUGUGUCUUGAACCCUUCAAAUGGCCCCAUUGUCUCCAUAGGUGGAGCUGGCCAGGCAACCCCCCUGGAAUCUUUGUUGCCUUCCUUGAAAAACAUUUAAAACAAACAAGCCCCUUUCUCUUCCCACAGACAGUACAAGCAAUAUUAAUGGUUAUCUACCUGGGAUAAGCACAACAGUCUCAUUUUUCCUGACUUGAAAGGGUCAUCUGUACUGUCAAGCCCAAUUAACUUGUCUUACUCUCGUACAAAGAAGGAAGGUUACCGAAAGGCCACAUCUUGCCCUAUAUCUUGGCUGCUCUGGUACAAUGGCUUGAUCAAAGGCCAUCAAAGCAUCAAGCCAAUAAAGGCAGACCCUGCUUUUUUUGGCUACUGGCA
rnacentral:lncRNA from 12 species